rnacentral:rRNA from 1 species
UACGUAGGGUGCAAGCGUUAAUCGGAAUUACUGGGCGUAAAGGGCGCGUAGGCGGUCCUUCAAGUCAGGCGUGAAAGCCCCGGGCUCAACCUGGGAACCGCGCUUGAGACUGGCAUGCUCGAGUUCGGGAGAGGAUGGUGGAAUUCCCAGUGUAGAGGUGAAAUUCGUAGAUAUUGGGAAGAACACCGAUGGCGAAGGCAGCCAUCUGGACCGACACUGACGCUGAGGCGCGAAAGCGUGGGGAGCAAACAGG